GAAACUUGGGCUAAUGCCCGAUAAGACCACGACCCGGGAGGGUAGCGGUCAAAGGGGGGGUGCAAAUCUCUCGCUUGAAGAUGUGCCUACGUCCUAUCAGCUUGUUGGUAGGGUAAUGGCCUACCAAGGCAAAGACGGGUAACCGGCCUGAGAGGGUGAACGGUCACACUGGGACUGAGACACGGCCCAGACUCCUACGGGAGGCAGCAGUGAGGAAUUUUCCGCAAUGGGCGCAAGCCUGACGGAGCGACGCCGCGUGAGGGAUGACAGUCUUCGGAUUGUAAACCUCUUUUGUAAGGGAAAAAGAUUAGGGUGCUCAUACCAUCCUGAUUUGAUGGUACUUUACGAAUAAGCCCCGGCUAACUACGUGCCAGCAGCCGCGGUAAUACGUAGGGGGCAAGCGUUGUCCGGAGUUACUGGGCGUAAAGGGCGUGUAGGCGGUUGGAUAAGUCUGGUGUGAAAUUCUUCGGCUCAACCGGGGGAACUGCGCUGGAAACUGUCUGACUGGAGUUCGGCAGGGGUAACUGGAAUUCCUGGUGUAACAGUGAAAUGUGUAGAUUUCAGGAGAACACCUGUGGCGAA
rnacentral:rRNA from 1 species